rnacentral:rRNA from 1 species
GAUCCUGGCUCAGGAUGAACGCUGGCGGCGUGCUUAACACAUGCAAGUCGAACGAAGCACUUGAGAAUGAUUCUUCGGAUGAUUUCUCUUGCGACUUAGUGGCGGACGGGUGAGUAACGCGUGGGUAACCUGCCUCACACAGGGGGAUAACAGUUGGAAACGACCGCUAAUACCGCAUAACCCGCUAGGGCCGCAUGGCCCGGACGGAAAAGAUUUAUCGGUGUGAGAUGGACCCGCGUUGGAUUAG